rnacentral:rRNA from 1 species
UAUGGCACCUACCGAAGACUAUCCAACUCCGAAUGCCGUCAUCUGAUACUUGGGAGUCAGACUGUGGGGGAUAAGAGUCAUAGUUGAAAGGGGAACAGCCCAGAUCGUCAGCUAAGGUCCCUAAUGGUCAGGUAAGUGGUAAGGGAGGCUGGAUUGCACAGACAACCAGGAUGUUUGCUUAGAAGCAGCCACUCAUUCAAAGAGUGCGUAAUCGCUCACUGGUCGAGUGAUCCUGCUCCGAAGAUUUCCGUGGCUAAAACUUACUACCGAAGCUACGUCAUCAGUAAUGAUGGGUAGGGGAGCUUCACAUACGGAGUGUGUAUUAAACGUUAGGACAUGUGGUCAGUAUGGGUGAGGGUCUGUGUGCUCGAGUAGGUGUAUGUGGG